rnacentral:rRNA from 1 species
CUACGGGUUGCAGCAGACGAGGAUCUUUUACAAUGCACGCAAGUGUGAUAAAGCGAGCCAGAGUGUUGUUCUUAGAACAACUUUUGUUUGCUGUAAAAAGGCAGACGAAUAAGGACUGGGUAAGACCGGUGCCAGCCGCCGCGGUAAUACCGGCGGUCCAAGUUGCAUCCAUUUUUAUUAGGUCUAAAACAUCCGUAGCUUGUUUUGUAAGUUUCUUGUGAAAUCUUAUGUCUCAAACAUGAGGCUUGCAAGAAAUACUGCAUUGCUAGAGACCGGAAGACGUAAGGAGUAUGAUUGAGGUAGCGGUAAAAUGCGUUAAUCUUAAUCAGACUAACAAUGGCGAAGGCACCUUACGAGUACGGAUCUGACAGUGAGGGAUGAAGGCUAGGGGCGCAAAACGGAUUAGAUACCCCCGUAGUC